rnacentral:rRNA from 1 species
GACGAACGCUGACGGCGUGCUUAACACAUGCAAGUCGAAGGGAGUGGCGAACGGGUGAGUAACACGUGAGUAACCUGCCCAUUUCUUUGGGAUACGCCUGGGCAACUUGGUCUAAUACUGGAUGGAUUGGAAUGGGCUCGCUGCUUAUCAGCUUGUUGGUGGGGUGAUUGCUUACGAAUGCUUUGACGGGUAGCCGUCCUGAUAGGGGGGGCGGUCACACUGGGACUGAGAUACGGCCCAGAAUACUACGGGAUGCAGCAGUGGGGGAUAUUGCAAAAUGGAUGAAAGUCUGAUGCAGCGACGUCGUGUGGGGGAUGAAGGCCUUCGGGUUGUAAAAUCCUGUCGCCCGCGGAAUGGUAGUGGGUAAAGAAGCGCCGGCUAACUACGUGCCAGCAGCCGCGGUAAUAC